rnacentral:lncRNA from 1 species
ACUGUUUCUAUUCUAUAUUCAUCCCAGGUUUCCCUCCAUACAACUCCAGAGUAUGUAUUAGAUGAUUAUUUAUUUCAAGUCAAGCUGUGAAUAUCUUCCGCUUAUUAAGUCGCUGUCUACAAGUUCUAAUCUGGUCUAUAUUCUUGUAAUGAAUUGAUAGAAUGCUGCUGGAGAUGAUUAUGGUUGAAUCAGCCAAUUUUUGGCUCAUGUUAAUAAAUUAUUUAUGGACAAUUAAGCUAUUUUUUAUCCACACAUUUCGAUACACCCACAAUUACCACCCACGUAUCCAUUGCUCGUUUAUAUCUAUUUAUAAGUUAAGCUGUUUAUAAACACUUCCACUCAUGCUCUUACAUGUUACUAACCUAUCUUACCUAGAGUUGGUUAUUUCCACAUGGGAUAUUUUGCUUGAAUGUUGUAUUAUUUGAUUUCCAUUCAAUUGAGUCAUUGCAAAAUAUUUCUCUAUUUUUUAUAGUUUCCUCUUGCAGUCAUUCUACCAAUGUACAGGACUAGAAACCUUUGAAAAAUAAACGAAUAGAGACUUUUUGAUUUAAGUCAUGGUAGACUAUUAGUUUCAAUCUUGCAGGCUACUAGAAUAUGCUUGCUUCUAAUUUAUUAAUAUGUUAUUUAAGAUUGAAUAAGAAUGAUAAUAGGAUUUGCCUAUACCUAUACAAGGUUUUCCUGGAGAUGUGCACUUUUCUCAACAAGAUGCUGGUGCAAAGAAAUGAGUAAAACUGAUGAGCUAGAUAUUGAGUCUCAAGUGUGCUAAUUUGCUUCUUUGAAACAUUUGAAAACUAUUCUUCAUCUCAAGCUUAUGUAUGAUAACAUCUUGCUAGCACAUUUAAUUCCUAACUGGUUCGCAUUUUCAUCAUUUUAAUGUGAAUGCUGUUUAACUGAAUUGUGAGAGCUUUAUUUGACUUUACAAAAUUCAUGUGAGUGGAUAAUGAUGUUUCAGGAACCGUUGGAGGGACUACCCAAACAAGCCUCUGCUUCCAUGCAGUUUCGAGGAGCUGAGCCAGAUACUUCAGAGAGCUCCAAGAAUGCUGAUCAUCAUAGUCCAGUGUCAGUCCUGGACGUCCCUUUUACAGAAGAUAUAUCAUCUAGUUCUGAAAGCUUUGAGAGAGUCAGUGCUGAACUUCAUGGUAUGAAGCUCGUUACUAAUAUUUUAAGAAUUUGCUCGUGUGUGACUCUUGGUAAUGAAGUCAUUGCAAGUUUCAGUAUAUGAAUAAAGUGAGAUACAUACAUACAUACAUACAUACAUACA